UUGUUUUCUGCAGUUUCAUUGUGUUUAAUUUUUCCUUUUGAGUUCUUUUUAGCCCACUGAAUUUUGUGCUUUGCUUAAUUUUACACAUUUCCCUUGCUCACUUUAUUUGUUCAUCGAACAGCCUUUUUGUUGGAGAUCAUAUGGGAGAAAUGAUAAGCUGAUCAGCAUUGAUGAGGAAAUCUUUCCUUGUGGUAUUUAGAUUGUUCUAGAAAAGCAGCGCAGAUAUAUCUUUUGACAUGUUUCUGGCAUAAUGAUGGUUAUGGUGUUUACGUAUGUUUUACAUUUGCAGUACAACAUGUAAUUGCCAAGUCAUGCCUUCAAUUGAACUCAUUUUGGAGGUCAUGCCUCUUGCUGGAAACAUAAUCUUGGAAGACUUAUUUGCAAUUUGUGAC
rnacentral:lncRNA from 1 species